rnacentral:rRNA from 1 species
GAUGAACGCUGGCGGCGUGCCUAAUACAUGCAAGUCGAGCGAACAGACGAGGAGCUUGCUCCUCUGACGGUAGCGGCGGACGGGUGAGUAACACGUGGAUAACCUACCUAUAAGACUGGGAUAACUUCGGGAAACCGGAGCUAAUACCGGAUAAUAUAUUGAACCGCAUGGUUCAAUAGUGAAAGACGGUUUUGCUGGCACUGAGAGAUGGAUCCGUGCCGCAUUAGCUAGUUGGUAAGGUAACGGCUUACGAAGGCAACGAUGCGUAGCCGACCUGAGAGGGUGAUAGGACACACGGGGAGUGAGAGACGGUAGAGACUCCUACGGGAGGCCGAAGCAGGGACGCUUCCGAGAGGGGGGAAAGCCUGACGGAGGAACGCCGCGUGAGUGAUGAAGGUCUUCGGAUCGUAAAACUCUGUUAUGAGGGAAGAACAAAUGUGUAAGUAACUAUGCACGUAUUGACGGUACCUAAUCAGAAAGCCACGGCUAACUACGUG